rnacentral:rRNA from 1 species
CAGUAGCCACGGUAAGACGAACCGUGCGAACGUUAUUCGGAAUUACUGGGCUUAAAGCGCGUGUAGGCGGUUCUAUAAGACAGAUGUGAAAUCCCCGGGCUCAACCUGGGAACUGCAUUUGUGACUGUAGAGCUGGAGUGCGGCAGAGGGGGAUGGAAUUCCGCGUGUAGCAGUGAAAUGCGUAGAUAUGCGGAGGAACACCGAUGGCGAAGGCAAUCCCCUGGGCCUGCACUGACGCUCAUGCGCGAAAGCGUGGGGAGCAAACAGGAUUAGAUACCCCCGUAGUCCCUGUCUCUUAUAC